CAGCCGCCGCGGUAAUACGAAGGGGGCUAGCGUUGCUCGGAAUUAUUGGGCGUAAAGGGCUCGCAGGCGGUUUCUUAAGUCUGAUGUGAAAGCCCCCGGCUCAACCGGGGAGGGUCAUUGGAAACUGGGAAACUUGAGUGCAGAAGAGGAGAGUGGAAUUCCACGUGUAGCGGUGAAAUGCGUAGAGAUGUGGAGGAACACCAGUGGCGAAGGCGACUCUCUGGUCUGUAACUGACGCUGAGGAGCGAAAGCGUGGGGAGCGAACAGGAUUAGAUACCCCGGUAGUCCCUGUCUCUUAUCA
rnacentral:rRNA from 1 species